rnacentral:rRNA from 1 species
ACGGGAGGCGGCAGUAGGGAAUAUUGCACAAUGGGGGGAACCCUGAUGCAGCAACGCCACGUGUGGGAAGAAGCAUUUCGGUGUGUAAACCACUGUCGUGAGGGAAUAAUGCUUGAUUUCGGUCAAGUUGAAUGUACCUCGAAAGGAAGCACCGGCAAACUUCGUGCCAGCAGCCGCGGUAAUACGAGGGGUGCAAGCGUUGUUCGGAAUCACUGGGCGUAAAGGGAGCGUAGGCGGAGACGCAAGCAGUCUGUACAAGACCGGGGCCCAACCCCGGACCUGCAGACUGGACUGUGUCUCUUGGAUAGUUCAGGGGCAGGCGGAAUUCCUGGUGUAGCGGUGGAAUGCGUAGAGAUCAGGAAGAACACCGAUGGCGAAGGCAGCCUGCUGGGGACUCAUCGACGCUGAGGCUCGAAAGUGCAGGUAGCAAACAGGAUUAGAUACCCUGGUA